CUACGGCUCAUUCGGUGCAGCUGCCUGGGGGCUGUAGUGUCCGCGCCGCUCCUGCUGGGGGCUGCCCACGCCAAAGACCUGC
rnacentral:miRNA from 1 species